AACGAACGCUGGCAGCGUGGAUUAGGCAUGCAAGUCGAACGGGAUCCGGAAGGUAGCAAUACCGGCCGGUGAGAGUGGCGGAAGGGCGAGGAGCACGUGGACAACCUGUCCCGUGGGUGGGGAUACCGUCCCGAAAGGGGCGUUAAUACCGAAUGGGGCCCCGGACCGCAUGGUCCGGCGGCCAAAGGCGGGGACCGCAAGGCCCGCCCCCCCGGGAGGGGUCCGCGCACCAUCAGCUAGACGGCGGGGUAACGGCCCACCGUGGCGUACGGUUAGCUGGUCUGAGAGGACGACCAGCCGCACUGGGACUGAGACACUGCCCAGACUCCUAUGGGAGGCUGCAGUCGAGGAUCAUUCGCAAUGGGCGAAAGCCUGACGAUGCGACGCUGCGUGGAGGAUGAAGGCCCUCGGGUCGUAAACUCCUGUCAUGGGGGGCGAGGCGGAGGCGGUUAACGGCCGCCCGAGUUGACGGUACCCCAAGAGGAAGCCACGGCUAACUCUGU
rnacentral:rRNA from 1 species